AAAAUAAGAAUCAUUUAAUCAAUAACAAAAAACAAAUAACAAAUAAGACCCAGGCCCAUCCAAUUCAGAUAUGAAUAUAUAUCUAUUUCAAGGUAGGGUUUUCCAAUAUUAUCACUUCAUUCAUCUUUAUCCUUUCGCCGCUUUCUUCUCCUCUUCCCUUGAUUUCAUAAUUUCAUUUCCUGACCUGAGAAUGCUGCUUUUUGUGACUAAUUCAUCUCUCCGCCUUCUCUUGCUAUAGAUUAUCAACGUGAUGUUGAUGUUCCUCUUGAUUGUUGAAAAAUCAGCUAACAAGAGUAAGUAUCUUAUUUCUGAGUUCAUCCUCCUUUCUUGCUAUUGACUUCAAUGUUCUUUUCCAGUUGUUUUUUCAGAUUACAUGAGUUGUGCUUGUUUUUUGUUGUCGGAUCUUGUCUAAAGGAGGCGAGCCUCUUCAUUUGGCAAGUCCUUUUCCUUAUUUUUCUCCUUUUUUUCUUCCUCUGAUAUUUGCUCACUAUCUUCCUGCAAGUAGUCAUGUAACAGAUAGAGUGCACGGGUAGCUUUGCUCCGCCGCCCUUUAAGAGUGUUGAUGGCUUCCUCCAGAUUUAAAACUUCUACUCUUGACUCCAGAUCCUCUAUUUUAUCAAGUCCUUUUUGUUGGAUGAAAUAACAUAGGCUAGGUAUCAUCUCUAUUUUUUUGUUGCCUUCAAGGACUUUGUAAAUUGUUCCAUUUUUUUCAGUGUCUUCCUCUCCCUACUACACAACUGCUUCAAAAUAAUUGAGUUAUCAUUCUUUGGACAUGAUUUAACAUAUUGAUUGAUGGGUUUAUGAUUGAUAGACAAUAUAAGAGUGUACUUUGCAAUACAUAUUUAAUUAAAAAUUAUUUUUUCCCCAAAUGAUAAAAGUUUACCCUUCCAAUCCCACUUCAAAACACAUAAAUACAUAAACAAAGAAACAAAAAAAGGAGAUAAAAUGAAAAGUGGAAGGACACAAAAGCAGUAAAAAAAAAGUGAAAAGAGGGACAUUCCAGAUCUUCUCAGAGAGCUCAUCGACCUCCACCCUGAAGUCUCAAUUCUGCUCCUACUCUUUUAAAACCUCAACAUCACUGAAACGCUAAUGACCAUUUCUGGUUUAUCUUCGAGGAAAAGGCAAUUCAAGAAGAGGCAAGCCAAUUUGAUAUUGGAGACGUUAAGUAUUAUUUGGUGCUGGUAUGUUGUGCCAUUAUUUGGCAAUUCACACUAUUGGGAAUAGUUGGAGUAAUUUUUUAUUCUUCAUCUUUGCUCUCUGGAAUUAUUAGUGCUUUCUUACUUCCCAUUACUGAAGUCUUAGCUGUGAUUUUAUUCCGUGAAAAAUUUCAAAUUGAAAAGGGAAUUGCUAUUUUUCUAGCUAUUUGUGGAUUCAUAUCAUACUUUUAUGGUGAAAAUGAGCAAAGUAAGAAGGAAAAGCAGAAAACAAUAGACGAGGAACAAUCCCAACCUUUCCUAUUGCAACCAGAAUUAAGUAUGUAGUCCAGAAUGAAGUUUCGAGUGUUAAGUAUUGUUUCAUAAUGUAACGUAUUAUAUUAUGUUAUGGUGUAUUGUAUUGUACCGUAUUGUUUUAAUGA